CAUGGCGUCAGGAGGCGAAGAAGGACGUACUAAUCUGCGAAAAGCCCAGGUAAGCUGAUAAGGGGCGUAAUAGCCUGGGAUAUCCGAAUGGGGCAACCCAACACGCAAGUGUUACUUAGUACGUAAGUACUAAGGGCGAACCGGGGGAAGUGAAACAUCUCAGUACCCCGAGGAAAAGAAAUCAACCGAGAUUUCCAUAGUAGCGGCGAGCGAAAAGGAAAGAGCCCAAAAGUCAUACACAUACGAGUAGAACGGCAUGGAAAGGCCGACGGAAGAGGGUGAUAGUCCCGUAUACGGAAGUGUGAGUAAGAUGAGCGAGAGUAGGGCGGGACACGUGGUAUCCUGUCUGAAGAUGGGGGGACCAUCCUCCAAGGCUAAAUACUACCUGACGACCGAUAGUGAACCAGUACCGUGAGGGAAAGGCGAAAAGAACCCUGGUGAAGGGAGUGAAAUAGAAUCUGAAACCGUGUGCGUACAAGCAGUGGGAGCCCUAAGGGGUGACUGCGUACCUUUUGUAUAAUGGGUCAGCGAGUUAUCUGUAUUAGCGAGGUUAACUUAAAUGAGGGAGCCGUAGGGAAACCGAGUCUUAAAAGGGCGAGAAGUUGAUGCAGGUAGACCCGAAACCGAGUGAUCUAGUCCUGGACAGGCUGAAAGCAGGGUAACACCUGCCGGAGGGCCCAACCUACUGUCGUUGCAAAGCCAGAGGAUGAUCUGGGACUAGGGGUGAAAGGCCAAUCAAACCCGGUGAUAGCUGGUUCUCCCCGAAAGCUAUUUAGGUAGCGUCCUGCAGGGACGGAUGGGGGUAGAGCACUGUUAUUGGAAGGGUCUCAUUGAGGGAUACCGACCAAUUGCAAACUACGAAUACCAUUCAGUUGUAAGCAGGGGACACACAGUGGGUGCUAACGUUCAUUGUGAAGAGGGAAACAACCCGGACCGUCGGCUAAGGUCCCGAAGUUCUGAUUAAGUGGGAAACGAUGUGGGAAGGCAUAGACAGCCAGGAUGUUGGCUUAGAAGCAGCCAUCAUUAAAAGAAAGCGUAAUAGCUCACUGGUCGAGUCGGCCUGCGCGGAAGAUGUAACGGGGCUAAAAUCAGACACCGAAGCUGCGGAUUUGCAUGAAGAAUGCAAGUGGUAGGGGAGCGUUGUGUAAGCCUGAGAAGCAGGGAAGGGAUUUUCUGUGGAGGUAUCACAAGUGCGAAUGCUGACGCAAGUAACGAUAAAACGGAAAAAAAAUCCGUUCGCCGGAAGACCAAGGUUUCCUGUUCAACGUUAAACGGAGCAGGGUUAGUCGGUGCCUAAGGCGAGGCUGAAAAGCGUAGUCGAAGGGAAACGGGUUAAUAUUCCCGUACCGUGUUUCAUUGCGAUGGGGUGACGGAGAAGGUAAGGCUGGCCGGAGAACGGAAGUUCCGGUGAAAGACUGUAGGUAGAGAUUUGGGUUAAAAGACGAAUCUCGAUAAUCUGAGAGUUGAGACGAGGCAUAGAUAUGCUGAAGCAGUUGUGGCCAGGCUCCCAGGAAAAGCCCCUAAGCUAGAGAUGAGACAGGCCGUACCCCAAACCGACACAGGUGGUCGGGUAGAAGAUACCAAGGCGCUUGAGAGAACCCGGGUGAAGGAACUAGGCAAAAUUGUACCGUAACUUCGGGAGAAGGUACGCUGAGCUAGGUGAGGAGGUAAACCCUUUGAGCUAAGUUCAGCCGCAGAUAAAUGGUGGCUGGGACUGUUUAACAAAAACACAGCACUCUGCAAACCUGAAAGGGGAAGUAUAGGGUGUGACACCUGCCCGGUGCCGGAAGGUUAAAUGAUGAGGUUAGCGCAAGCGAAGCCUUUGAGUGAAGCCCCGGUAAACGGCGGCCGUAACUAUAACGGUCCUAAGGUAGCGAAAUUCCUUGUCGGGCAAGUUCCGACCUGCACGAAUGGUGUAACCAUGGCCACGCUGUCUCCACCCGGGACUCAGUGAAACCGAAAUCGCUGUGAAGAUGCAGUGUACCCGCGGCUAGACGGAAAGACCCCGUGAACCUUUACUGCAGCUUGACACUGAACCUUGAACCUGUUUGUGUAGGAUAGGCGGGAGACAUAGAAGCGGAAACGCCAGUUUUCGUGGAGUCGCCCUUGAAAUACCGCCCUGACAGUUUUGAGGUUCUAACUAAGGAAACGAAUCCGAGGACAGUGUCUGGUGGGAAGUUUGACUGGGGCGGUCUCCUCCCAAAGGAUAACGGAGGAGCACGAAGAUCGGGUGAUCACGGUCGGAAACCGUGAGGUCAGUGCAAUGGCAAAAGCCGGCUUGACUG
rnacentral:rRNA from 1 species